rnacentral:rRNA from 1 species
CCCUUAGAUGUUCGGGGCCGCACGCGCGCUACACUGAAGGAAUCAGCACGUCUUUCUCCUUGUCCGAAAGGACUGGGUAACCCGCUGAACCUCCUUCGUGCUAGGGAUUGGGGCUUGUAAUUCUUCCCCAUGAACGAGGAAUUCCCAGUAAGCGCGAGUCAUAAGCUCGCGUUGAUUACGUCCCUGCCCUUUGUACACACCGCCCGUCGCUACUACCGAUUGGAUGGUUUAGUGAGAUCCUCGGAUUGGUCCCGGCGCGGCCUCUGGUCGUGCCGGAGUGCCGGAAAGAAUGUCGAACUUGAUCAUCUAGAGGAAGUAAAAGUCGUAACA